rnacentral:rRNA from 1 species
CAGUAGCCGCGGGAAUACGAAGGGUGCAAGCGUUACUCGGAAUUACUGGGCGUAAAGCGUGCGUAGGCGGCUUCUUAAGUCGGAUGUGAAAUCCCUGAGCUUAACUUAGGAAUUGCAUUCGAUACUGGGAAGCUAGAGUAUGGGAGAGGAUGGUAGAAUUCCAGGUGUAGCGGUGAAAUGCGUAGAGAUCUGGAGGAAUACCGAUGGCGAAGGCAGCCAUCUGGCCUAAUACUGACGCUGAGGUACGAAAGCAUGGGGAGCAAACAGGAUUAGAUACCCCUGUAGUCCCUGUCUCUUAUAC